GAUGAACGCUGGCGGCGUGCCUAAUACAUGCAAGUCGAGCGAACAGACGAGGCGCUUGCUCCUCUGACGUGAGCGGCGGACGGGAGAGUAACACGUGUAUACCCUACCUAUAAGACUGGGAAAACUUCGGGAAACCGGAGCUAAUACCGGAUAACAUGUUGAACCGCAUGGUUCAACAGUGAAAGACGGUCUUGCUGUCACUUAUAGAUGGAUCCGCGCUGCAUUAGCUGGUUGGUAAGGUAACGGCUUACCAAGGCAACGAUGCGUAGCCGAACUGUGAGGGGGAUAGGCCACCCUGGAACUGGGACGCGCACCAGACUACUGCGGGAGGCACCAGUAGGGAACGGUACGCAGUGGGGGAGAGCCUGACGGAACAACGCCGCGUGAGUGAAGAAGGUCUUCGGAGCGUAAUACUCUCUUAUUAGGUAAGAACAAAUGUGUAAGUAACUAUGCACGUCUUGACGGUACCUGAUAAGAAAGCCACGGCUAACUACGUG
rnacentral:rRNA from 1 species